GGGGGGUUAUGCGCUCUUUGUGAGUAGUAAAUAUUUAUUUAUUAUUCCAUCGGUCGAUUGCGAAACCGUGUGAUUGUGUGAGCCGCCUUAAUACAUCAAAUGGGUUGGUUGGGCCACAAUAAAUGACCCACGGCAGUUCCUACACAGUUCGUACCAUGUAAGGUUAGGUGUGUUUCAGAAGUUGGAACUAUCUAGACAGCUCCGGGUUCGGGUUCGGGAUACAAUUCUACCGGAAAGAUGGCGAAGAUAGGCCAUUGAACGAUCGCUUACCCCAUGCGUCAAGUGGCAUCGAGUGUCUGGACGGCCAACUGUCAGCAGAAUAUAUGCUGACACACUCGUGGAGGAUCAUUUGCGUUCCAAGCGAGGUUCAACGAUCGGAUCAUUAUUUGCAUCAAGCUCGGAAACAAUCAAUCAUCGUUGCUAAUCGUUUGUCACGUUCAAUGAAGCUGAGCGCUUAAUCUGAAGCUCAGGCGACAUUGUUAUUUGAGAUUUAAGAGUUAUGCCAAUCUUGGCAGAAUUUAUGAGGAUUAAAAAUAUGUAAAUAAAUAAACAGAUGGAAGAUA